GAGAGAAACAAACACACACACAAACAAACACACCUGCCAACGCAACACCCCCACCCAUUUAAGUCAAAAAGUUUAAUUCUUUUUGACAAUUAACACCAGAAAACAAACAAACACAUAUCAAGCCCUUGAAAGGGCAUCGGCAAUAACGUUUUCUGUACCCUUCUUGUGGCGGAUGUCAAUGUUAAAACCUUGCACUACUAAUGACCACCUCAUUAGUCUCUGAUUGGAGUUGGCCAUGCGCUGGAGAAAAACCAGAGGGUUGUGGUCAGUGUAAAUCACGACAGGUAAGUUGCUACCACCCACGUAAAUUUCAAAGUGCUGGAGGGCAAGAAGUAACGCUAGGGCCUCUUUCUCGAUUGUGCUGUAACGCUGUUGUGUUUUUGAAAAUUUCUUUGAGAAAUAGCACACAGGAUGAUCAACUCCAUUUUCACCCUCUUGGAGCAGCACUGCCCCAGCUCCCAAUGCACUGGCAUCAACUUCUAUUUUAAAGGGGUCAGUGAGAGGGGAAACAACGGAGGAAAAGUUUUUACAGAAACUCCUGUAAUAGCCCACCAUACCAAGGAACCGACGUAAUUCUCGUUUGGUGGUGGGGGCGGGGAAAUGAACAAUAGCCUCCACUUUGGCUUCGAUCGGGCGCACCUGUCCUUGUCCGACCUGCUUACCCAAGUAAGUGACCACAGCUUUAGCGAAUUCGCAUUUUUUUAAAUUCACAGUUAAAGAGGCUUCACUUAAGCGGGUGAACACUAAACGCAGGGUUCUCAUGUGGUCGUUCCAAGACUUGGAAUAAAUCACGACAUCAUCAAGAUAUGCCUCGCAAUUUGUAACACCGGAUAAAACUCUCUGCAUCAACCUUUGAAAGGUUGCUGGAGCGUUUCGCAUCCCGAAGGCCAUCACGGUGUAUUGCAGAAAAUUAUCCGGCGUUACAAACGCGGAAACAUCUGAAGCCCUCUGCGUCAGUGGUACCUGCCAAAAGCCCUUCAAUAAAUCAAGCUUAGUCACAAACAAAGCAGCACCUACGCGAUCUAUACAGUCCUCCAUUCUGGGCAACGGAAAGGAGUCUGGUCUGGUCACACUGUUCACUCUCCUGUAAUCCGUACAGAAUCUGUACGAGCCGUCCGGCUUGGAGACGAGCAAACACGGCGAGCUCCACGGGCUGCUGCUGGGUAUCACCAAACCGUUCGCCAGCAGGUAAUCUACCUCCUUCCUCAUCUCCUCUCUCUUUACAGGGUUAAGUCUGUACGGGUGUUGUUUUAGAGGUGGCGAAUUAAUAAUUUCAAUAUCAUGAAAUAAAACAUGAGUCUGACUUGGCACAUCUGAAAAGAGAGAGGAGAAUUCACAGAUCAAGGAAACGACAUCCCUGCGCUGUGAAUAAGGGAGGUAUGCCAAUUGGUUUUCAAUGUCAUUUAAAAAUUCCGAAUUGCACAAUUUCGGUGGCGUGGUCAUUAUUUCUGAAACCCUCAACCCGUCCUCCUCAGAAUCCACAACAGGAGACGGAGGAGCGCACGCCAACACUGGCGCUGUUUCAGAAAGAGGCUUAUCUGUGGCGGUUCUAUCCACGGCCCUGAGAAGCGAGCAUGGAGUGCAGAGCCUGGCAGCGGAAGAAAAACCAGCACCAAAUCUCCUGGUUGAAAGCUUCGCGCAACAGCCUUUCUGUCAAAUAAUUUUUUCAUGUGAGCUUGUUUGGAUGACAAAUUUAUUUUUGCCAUUUCCCACACACGAUUUAAACGCUCACGCAUUUGAGUCACGUACUCACAAACGUUAACUGGAGAUUUCUUCUCCGAUAACAGCUGCUCUCUCAACAGCUUUAGGGGUCCGCGGACGGAGAACCCGAAAAUUAACUCAGCAGGGCUGUAUCCUACAGAUUCCUGUACGGUCUCGCGAAUGGCAAACAUCAGCAUCGGCAACCCCUCAUCCCAGUCCUUCCCCGUUUCCACACAGAACGCGCGCAGCAUGGACUUAAGGGUCUGGUGGAAACGUUCCAGCGCGCCCUGCGACUCGGGAUGAUAGGCGCUCGAUAGCUGGUGUUUGAUGGCAAGCUCACUGA